GACGAACGCUGGCGGCGUGCUUAACACAUGCAAGUCGAACGGUAAGGCCCUUCGGGGUACACGAGUGGCGAACGGGUGAGUAACACGUGGGUGAUCUGCCCUGCACUUCGGGGUAAGCCUGGGAAACUGGGUCUAAUACCGGAUAGGACCACUGCCUGCAUGGGGGGUGGUGGAAAGCUUUUGCGGUGUGGGAUGGGCCCGCGGCCUAUCAGCUUGUUGGUGGGGUGAUGGCCUACCAAGGCGACGACGGGUAGCCGGCCUGAGAGGGUGACCGGCCACACUGGGACUGAGAUACGGCCCAGACUCCUACGGGAGGCAGCAGUGGGGAAUAUUGCACAAUGGGCGCAAGCCUGACGCAGCGACGCCGCGUGAGGGAUGACGGCCUUCGGGUUGUAAACCUCUUUCAGCACCGACGAAGCGCAAGUGACGGUAGGUGCAGAAGAAGGACCGGCCAACUACGUGCCAGCCGCCGCAGUAA
rnacentral:rRNA from 1 species